rnacentral:rRNA from 1 species
GAUGAACGCUGGCGGCGUGCUUAAUACAUGCAAGUAGAACGAAGAGCCUUUGUAGCAAUACGAGGGUUUCUUAGUGGCGAACGGGUGCGUAACGCGUUGGUGACCUGCCCAGAAGUGUGGGAUAACAGUUCGAAAGGAUUGCUAAUACCGAAUGAGGUCAUCGAGUUUAGAAAUAGAUGAUUAAAGCAGUAAUGCGCGUCUGGAGGGACCUGCGUCCCAUCAGCUAGUUGGUGAGGUAACGGCCCACCAAGGCUACGACGGGUAGGGGACCUGAGAGGGUGGUCCCCCACACUGGCACUGAAACACGGGCCAGACACCUACGGGUGGCAGCAGUAGGGAAUAUUGGUCAAUGGGCGAAAGCCUGAACCAGCAACGCCGCGUGCACGAUGAAGGUCUUCGGAUCGUAAAGUGCUUUUCUGAGAGAUGAGAAAGGACAGUAUCUCAGGAAUAAGUCUCGGCUAACUACGUGCCAGCAGCCGCAGUAAAAC